GAUCAUGGCUCAGAUUGAACGCUGGCGGCAUGCCUUACACAUGCAAGUCGAACGGCAGCAUGGAGAGCUUGCUCUCUGAUGGCGAGUGGCGAAUGGGUGAGUAAUACAUCGGAACGUGUCCGAUUGUGGGGGACAACCGUCCGAAAGGAUGGCUAAUACCGCAUGAGACCUGAGGGUGAAAGCCGGGGACCGCAAGGCCCGGCGCAGACGGAGCGGCCG
rnacentral:rRNA from 1 species